CGCGCUGAGUGCCUUCUCAAUGGGAGACAAGAGCUGAGAGACGGAGAGAGGGAGAGAGAGCGAAUGCGCGCAAAAGAGAGAAAGAGGUGCCGUCGCAUGUGCAAGACCAAAAAAGUGAAGAGGCAAAUUAGCUUGUUAUUCCCCCAAAGAAGCAUCACCUUCACAUAGGAGCGUGAGGAGGCUGAGAAGCAGGAGGAAAAAGACGUUGCUGAUUCUCUGCUGAUUUAAAGGUGACAUGACAAGCCUCUCGUCCCUCAAAAUCCCUGCGAGUUUCUGACAGCGUUUUCGCAGCGGCGACUGGAGUUUCUGCCUGCGUUUCGGGUGGAUUGCAGACUUAUAAGAGAAGAGAGGAAAAGGGAUCAAGGGCAGGAGAAGGGAACAAAAAGGGGAACCAAAAGUGUCCUCGUCUUUCCUUGAUCCAAACUGGAACUUUUUUUUUUCUUUCCCAGGGAAGAGCAUGCAUAUUGGUGGAUUUAUGAUGUUGUGCUGAGGAUGUUGGACGAAUAUUGACCGCAAGUUGCUUUAACGUUCUUCUGACGGUGGUUCACAGCCGGUGCUCCUGCCAUGUCCUGGCUCCUGUGUCUGUGGAUAAGUGUUAGCUGCUUACUGCUCUGUCACGCCACUUUAUACGAAACCAUCCAGCAGCAUCAUGUGACCCGUCCGGGCCGAAACGCCAUCCAGAUACUGGAAGGAGGAACAUGUGAGGUGAUCGCAGCACACCGAUGUUGCAACAAGAACCGUAUUGAGGAACGUUCCCAGACGGUCAAGUGUUCAUGUUUACCAGGAAAAGUGGCUGGCACGACACGAAACAAACCCUCCUGUGUAGACGCCUCCAUUGUGAUUGGGAAGUGGUGGUGUGAGAUGGAGCCGUGUCUGGAGGGAGAAGAGUGCAAGACACUACCAGACAACUCCGGCUGGAUGUGUUCCUCUGGGAACAAGAUCAAGACCACAAGGAACACCCAGCCAUAUUCCACUUUUUAGCUCUGAGGGCCACUCAAUCUCCAGAAGCUCAGCGGCGUCCUUCUCCUCAUCAAGAUUCAUCCCCGGACCUAACAAAGAGCUCCUUCACAGGCGGUGAAUGUGGAUUCUCUCUGUCAAAAAAACGGACGAAACCAUUCAUUCAGAGGGGUGUUUGACUGGAUUACCUGUGAAUGAACAAUAAAGGAGGAUAAAUACACGAUAUUUGCUCAUUCGGUGCCAAGGAAUAUAUGAAAAAUAGAAAUAAAGCAGGCUAAUCUGUGUUUUGAUCAAUGAGCCCAAUGCUGCGGACUCAACAGUCGUGUCCACUUCUGUCGAUUUUCUGUGUUUCUCCUGACCACCUUCCUCUGGUUCUAUACUCGUACAGCUUAGAGGAGCCGUUUACUGGAUUUCAAAUUAUACCUGAAGACUUUACCUCCCUAGGUAAACCGGACAAUCCUGAUAUAAGCUGUGAACGACUGUAUGAAGGAUCAUGAUGGAUAAGCGCUGGUCUGUGAAAAUGAGGAGGAAAUCAAUAGGAGAUUUUUUCCAUCCCUCCAUCAAUCUGUCAUUGCGUCGUCCACGCUGGCUUUGGUAAUAGACUGGGAGUUUGUGAAGCCCUGCUGUUUCCCCUCCACUUCUGAGUUUACCACUCAGUGCUACUGUCUACAUGCUGUUCGUUUUGGAAAAUCCCCCCCGCAGGUCAAAGCUCACCCUCUCACCGUCUACACCUACUUGAGCCAGAUAUCUUUUUAUUUGUCGGCAUGCUCAAUGUAUUUCGUGGGAGCUUUGUAUUGAAAGUAACUGUAUAUAUUUCUGUAUAUAUACAUAUAGAUACAUAUUAAAAGAUAUCAUAUGAAGAUCUAACAUGCCCAUAAACCUGUUCAGUGGGACUAUAUUGAUGGUCUUUGUUCCUCGGACAACAAGUACAAUUAAUCCCAAAUUCAAUGCUGUCUGUGGAAGUAGAUAUUCUCUCAAUGUAAUUGAAGACCUGCUUUUUUUCUUUUGCUUGAUGACUUAUUCCGAUGAAUCUAAUAUAUUUUUUAAAGUUCACUAAACAGUUUUGCAGAAAAAAGCAUUUCAGCACAAACAAAAUACGCUGAAUUAGUCAUGGGUAUUUAAGUCAUUGUCAUUCAUUUACAAUGCGAACAAACUCAUUUUCAUGCAAAUUAGGCUUAUUAAAGAUUGAGGAUUAUUCAAAGAACUAUUUACUUGGUGAAAUUAAUGCUGUGCUACUACCGCCUGUGGUUAUCAGAAGAUAAAAUGACUACAUUUUAUGUUGAUCAUGACGGUACAAUUCAAAAGAGAUGCUGUGACACAUCAAGUCAACAAAGAACUAGCGCAGAUACAAGGCAAGUAAUAUGUUGUCUGCUCAGAUUGCGUGGGGUCUUGGCCUAAACAUACUAAUAGUAGUAGUAGUCUAAAUUCAUUAUUAGACACAGAGAAACCAAAACAAAGAUUGCAUAUAUACAACACAUCACACUUCACAUAAUAUCAGUCAUCUUGAUGACCAUUUGAAUUCUAAUGCUGAGUUCAGACUGCAUGAUUUUAGCCCUGAUUUUGACUCGCCGACAGGUUUUGUGAAAACGCUGACAAAUGCUUGAGAUCACAGGCAAAUCGGUGCU